rnacentral:rRNA from 1 species
AUUCAGCGGCGGACGGGUGAGUAAUGCCUAGGAAUCUGCCUGGUAGUGGGGGACAACGUUUCGAAAGGAACGCUAAUACCGCAUACGUCCUACGGGAGAAAGCAGGGGACCUUCGGGCCUUGCGCUAUCAGAUGAGCCUAGGUCGGAUUAGCUAGUUGGUGGGGUAAUGGCUCACCAAGGCGACGAUCCGUAACUGGUCUGAGAGGAUGAUCAGUCACACUGGAACUGAGACACGGUCCAGACUCCUACGGGAGGCAGCAGUGGGGAAUAUUGGACAAUGGGCGAAAGCCUGAUCCAGCCAUGCCGCGUGUGUGAAGAAGGUCUUCGGAUUGUAAAGCACUUUAAGUUGGGAGGAAGGGCAGUAAGUUAAUACCUUGCUGUUUUGACGUUACCGACAGAAUAAGCACCGGCUAACUCUGUGCCAGCAGCCGCGGUAAUACAGAGGGUGCAAGCGUUAAUCGGAAUUACUGGGCGUAAAGCGCGCGUAGGUGGUUCGUUAAGUUGGAUGUGAAAUCCCCGGGCUCAACCUGGGAACUGCAUCCAAAACUGGCGAGCUAGAGUAGGGCAGAGGGUGGUGGAAUUUCCUGUGUAGCGGUGAAAUGCGUAGAUAUAGGAAGGAACACCAGUGGCGAAGGCG